UACGUAGGGCGCAAGCGUUGUCCGGAAUCAUUGGGCGUAAAGCGCGCGUAGGUGGCUUCGUAAGUCCGUUGUGAAAGUCAAAGGCUCAACCUUUGAAAGCCGAUGGAUACUGCGGAGCUAGAGUACGGAAGAGGCGAGUGGAAUUCCUGGUGUAGCGGUGGAAUGCGCAGAUAUCAGGAGGAACACCAAUAGCGAAGGCAGCUCGCUGGGACGUUACUGACACUGAGGCGCGAAAGCGUGGGGAGCGAACAGG
rnacentral:rRNA from 1 species